UGUUAUGAUUAGCACGCGUGGACACACGCAAACUGUCUCGACGGACGUUGGAUAUCGAAUUGACACUUUAUGAUGACUGAUAUACUGGAUAGCUGUGAGCAUUUGAAAAAAUACAUGCAAAAUGUCAUUAGCCAUCGAAAAGCAAGCAGGUUGAUUGAGCGCGAAUGACGUCAUCAAGCUUGGAGCUCAGAUCGUGGCAGACCUCACGAAGGGCCUUCAUCAGUGAGCCUUGUUCUCAAGUUUUGGAGAAGAAGAAGAAGAAGAAGAGCCCCUGAAUGACAUUGAAAGCGGUCGCUACGCAACCCGGCACCAAUCUUCGCAUUAGCCACAACCCCUGCCGACUGACCUAGCCUUUCUGGCACUGUAAGCAAAAAAAGAAAUCCCUGCUGUGCACCUUUGGGAGUGACAUCGCUUUGGAGUUUUCGGUUCAAACGCAGAGGGAUUAAAAUUGCUCUAUCACACUGUCAGCUAUCAGAUGUGGCCCGAUCAGCACAAGCCGUCCUGGACAUAUGGCCGAUGCGAAAGGGUGAAGAUUCUUUGCAUCGCGUGUUCCCAGGUGUGCAACUGUCCGAGAAUACAGGGUCAAGAAGUUUGCAAAAGAGGAGGAAUCACCACCCCCCACCCCCCUUGGGUACUCGCUUCCAGCAUCCCUGACAAGCGAUGCGCGCCUCUAAACCCCUUCAAGAGACAAAAAGGCUAGCAGACGGUGUUUGAAAGGUGGCGUUUUUGACCACCGAGACGACGGCUUCGCCGUCGGCCAACCAACCUUCACAAGCCAUUUGAAGGUGCGCGUUCCUGGGACUUGCAAAUCUUUUGUGUUUGGAAAAAGUCCAUUCAAGCCAACAGCUGCU